AUGUACAGGUUCUAAACAUUUUUUCUGCUUAUAGGAAGAAAGACAAGCUUGGUGAACCAAUAGCAGCUCCACGACGGCUUGUUUCUUCUUUGUGGAAAGAUCAGCUAUUGCUUCCAAUGAUGAAGUGAAAUCAUAGGAAAGCAUCUUGAACAGGGAAUGGAAGAUCCAUAGCUUGAUAGAAAUCUAAAGACACAAAAAGAAGAAG